rnacentral:rRNA from 1 species
CAAGUCUGGUGCCAGCAGCCGCGGUAAUUCCAGCUCCAAUAGCGUAUAUUAAAGUUGUUGCAGUUAAAAAGCUCGUAGUUGAAUUUCGGGGUUAGUAGGUUGGUCAUGCCUCUGGUAUGUACUGGUCUCACUGAUUCCUCCUUCCUUAUGAACCGUAAUGCCAUUAAUUUGGUGUUGCGGGGAAUUUGGACUGUUACUUUGAAAAAAUUAGAGUGUUUAAAGCAAGCUAACGCUUGAAUACAUUAGCAUGGAAUAAUGAAAUAGGACGUUCGAUCUUAUUUUGUUGGUUUCUAGGAUUGACGUAAUGAUUAAUAGGGAUAGUUGGGGGCAUUAGUAUUCAAUUGUCAGAGGUGAAAUUCUUGGAUUUAUUGAAGAC